GAAUACAUACAAGGAUUUUUUUAAAAAAUGCAACUCAAGAUGCUGAGACAGAUUUGUUGCAAGUUUCCAUCUUUUGUAAGGUUGGACGUUGACAAAACACUGGCAGUCAUAGUUUUGUUUCGGAUUUGGGGAGGCCAGCUUGCUGAAGAUCCGAAGGCCUGGCUCAGUUGAUCUGACAGUCCCAUGUUCCAUGCUGGAAGAAAGCCAGACUGUCUGGGAACUAUGUCAUACAUCUACACAAGCGAGACCCAAGGAACAGAAGGGUCAUAUAACAUCCUAUUGAGGUGACUGAAACAUGGUCUUGCAUGGUUACUUGGGAGAUACCCCUGGUAUAUAUCUCAGCUCCUGCUCAGCCAAUGUGAUGCCAUCAAGCCUCACUUCUUGAGGUUC